GUUUUCAGAAAUACUUUUUCAAAAGUUCAACGUAUUGCCUUCUGCUCUGAACUUUCGUUUUGUCAUUCUGUGAAUUUUUUCAGCACUAGAAAUGAAUAUUACCUCCUAAAUUUAAAAUGGAAUGCCUCAAAAUUGACUUAUUUGACAUUCAAAGCACAUUAAUUUUUUGCUCUUAGAUGUUAAAUUUCAAUGGUUAUUAGGAUUCCAAAACAACUCUCUAUCUAUUGGUUUUUCAUUUGGAGUCAUGAUUUUUUUGUGGGUGGGCAUUUAUGGUUACACAGCUUACACGACUAGCAAGUUUAGCCUCAUAGGAUUGACAAAAGCUUUGCAAUAGGAGGCCAUUGUAGACAACAUUUAUAUCUCACUUAUAUUUCCUCUAGCAACAGAAACCCCAGGGGUUAAAGCAAGGUUUUUGAAUCUUUACUUUCUCUGCUUUGCUAUGAAUUUUAUAAUCUCAAUUUUCGAGUCUGCUAUUGACCUCUCCUAAUGAUAGCGGAGAAACUAGGGAGUUAUUGUGCUAAAACACUGAUAUUAUUGGCCCUUUUGCCUUUUAUUUUGAAGAUUUUAAUGUUGUCUGUUUAUCUAAACAAAAGUCUAAUAACAGUGAUCGAAGAAUUAAUAAAAUUUAGCAUGAAAAUAUGUAAUUUCUAUGAAUGUGUGACAUGGUAAGACCAUGUUAUUUUGAAGAUUUGAAUGUUCUUUGUUUAUCUAAACAAAACUCUUAUAACAAUGAUUGAAGAAUUAAUAAAAUUUGGCAUGAAAAUAUGUAAUUUAUAUGAAUGUGUGACAUGGUAAGACCAUGUUAUCUAAAUAUUUGUUUUGCUGAUAUUAGGUGGAUUAUUGGUGUUACACACUUCGCCAUUAUUUAGAAUGGGACAAUAUUGUUUUCUUAUUCCCCUGAUUGGUUGCUAAAUUGAGGAAAAGAAAAGGAAAAAUAUUAGAGCUAUGCAGUAUACUGUUGUGUUGGAGAGAAAAAUUAAAAAUCUCAAGUAUGCUUAACCUGAUGACCUUAGCAAUACUCAAUAGAUUUUAUUAUUUCUUUGCUUGGGACCAAACCUAUGGACAUAUAAAGUUUCAAUUUUCCUAUUACCUUUUUAUUGUUUCUCUUGUUUUCCUGCCAUAGAUUAAUAUGAAUUCUAGUUUUAAACUUUUAGUUUUUGUUAAUUGUAUAGAAUAGUUUGUUGGCUUUUGUGAUUGACUUUCAUAAAUAAUUGUGUUCUAAACUCAAAAGCUAUUUUGGAAAAUUUAAAUGUUGUCAUUGCAAAUUUGACUUUAAGGGAAAUGAAAUUUGGCUGGCAAAUUGAUGAUUGUAGCAUAAUUGGAUUCUUUGGAGCAACAUUUGGUGUUGGUGGUGGUGGCAGUUUUGUUACAUGUGGUGGCAGUUUUGUUACAUGUGGUAGGAGUUCUGUUAAAGAUCUAUAAUUCAUUCUAACCAAAUUCAGAAACCUCAUUGGGACAGGGGUUAGGAAGUGGUAAAAAUAAAGGAAAUGAUAAAAAGAAAUAUUUUUAAAAUACCACCAAUCUAGCCUGCUGUUUUAGUUGACUCAGUACUUGAUUUUGCAUAUUUCAAGCACUGGGUUUGAGAUCAUUGUCAUAGAUUUUCUAGUAUCAACCGAUUUUUUUAGAAUAAAAAGAGAAUUGAUUUACUACACUGACAUGCCAGCAGCUUUGUGAGUUGAGUUCAUGACUUUUAAGGGACCUCAAUUCUUUGAACCUUGAACAUGAAGCUUAGCAACCAUUGCUUCUCUGAGACAAUUGUCCUUGAUUUAGCUUUAAGAACUGUUUUAUCUAAUUAAUAAAUAGCUAGCUGAAGACAAGGGAUAUCUCUUUGCAAAUCUCAUUUACAUGGUUAUAUGAAACUGCUCUCUUAUAAUUGAGGAAGUCAUAAAUUCUAUUUGUUGGUCAUGCAUGGUUAUGGGUGCAGUAGGCUCAACUGUUUACUAUAAUCUUAAGCUAAGGCAUCCUACACUUGAUAUGCCUAUCAUUUGCUAUGAUUUGGCGCUGCUCUUCCAACCAAUGCUCAUGAUGGGCAUUAGCAUCGGGGUUGUUUUUAAUGUUGCAGUUGCUGACUGGAUGGUUACAAUUUUGCUAAUUGUUCUCUUCUUAGGCACACCAACAAAGGCAUUCAUAAAGGGUGUCGAAACAUGGAAGAAAGAAACCAUAAUGAAAAGGAGGUUGCUAAGCGUUUAGGAACAAAUGGUGAGUUGGCCUAUCAGGCAAAAGAGGAUUCUUUUUCCAUUAUUUAUUCUCCCCAAAAUCAUUGCUAAAUCUUUUUCAUCCUGUCAAGCAAUGGUACGAAGGAAGUAGAGUACAAGCCUCUUCCUAGUGGCCUAAGUAAUGGCACUCAAAAUGCCACCAGGAAAUUUGAAGAACUAGAGGUCAGUAUUAAAAUGUUUAAACUGGAUGGAACUUGGGCUUCUUGUUCUCGAUUGGGUUGCUUUCCUUACAUUGCAGAUUGCAAAGGUUUCCUCAUUCCUGACCUUAUUUGGGAAGGAUCUCAAUCAACAAAAUAACUACAUUCUUAUCCUAAAGGACAUCAUUUUCCAAAACAACAAAUGCAGCCAGAAUCCAUUAGUUUCUAAGGAAGAUUGAACUCACAAGCAAAAGAAAAAGCUUCAAUCUACUGUCUCGUCUUCUACAACACACAAGUACCUUAAUAAACCAGGAACCACCCAUCAUUUUCAGAAGUCAUUGACCAUGUCAUCUUCCUCAACAUCAACAACAACAGGGAAGCAGAGAACAAUGGACGGGAAAUUGCAAAGACAAUGUAGCUUCUCAACUUCAUGGCAUAGAAACUAUUCUAGAGGUUGAUACUUCUAAAAGCAAAAGGUUCACAUCAUCAGAGUUGAAGUUUGCAAUUACUAGAGAUUUCAGCCUUGAAAUGGUGAUAGGAGAAGGUGGGCAUAGUAAAGUGUACCUUAGAUGAUCCUGCUUGUGGUUUUACACAAGUUUCCAAUAUAAUGGAGCACAAGAAGUUAUAGUUUUCCUUUUA